GAUGAACGCUGGCGGCGUGCCUAAUACAUGCAAGUCGAGCGAACAGACGAGGAGCUUGCUCCUUCGACGUUAGCGGCGGACGGGUGAGUAACACGUAGGUAACCUACCUAUAAGACUGGGAUAACUUCGGGAAACCGGAGCUAAUACCGGAUAAUAUUUCGAACCGUAUGGUUCGAUAGUGAAAGAUGGCUUUGCUAUUACUUAUAGAUGGACCUGCGCCGUAUUAGCUAGUUGGUAAGGUAACGGCUUACCAAGGCAACGAUAAGUAGCCGACCUGAGAGGGUGAUGGGCCACACUGGACCUGAGACACGGUCCGGACUCCUACGGGAGGAAGCAGAAGGGAAUCUUGCGCAAUGGGCGAAAGCCUGACGGAGCAACGCCGCGUGGGUGAUGAAGGUCUUCGGAUCGUAAAACUCUGUUAUUAGGGAAGAACAAACGUGUAAGUAACUGUGCACGUCUUGACGGUACCUAAUCAGAAAGCCACGACUAACUACGUG
rnacentral:rRNA from 1 species